rnacentral:siRNA from 1 species
AGAUAGACGAUGGUCCAAA